UACGUAGGGGGCUAGCGUUGUCCGGAAUCAUUGGGCGUAAAGCGCGUGUAGGCGGUCCGGUAAGUCCGCUGUGAAAGUCGGGGGCUCAACCCUCAAAUGCCGGUGGAUACUGUCGGGCUAGAGUGCGGAAGAGGCGAGUGGAAUUCCUGGUGUAGCGGUGAAAUGCGCAGAUAUCGGGAGGAACACCUAUGGCGAAGGCAGCUCGCUGGGACGUUACUGACGCUGAGACGCGAAAGCGUGGGGAGCAAACAGG
rnacentral:rRNA from 1 species